UACGAAGGGGGCUAGCGUUGCUCGGAAUCACUGGGCGUAAAGGGUGCGUAGGCGGGUUUUUAAGUCAGAGGUGAAAUCCUGGAGCUCAACUCCAGAACUGCCUUCGAAACUGGCGAUCUUGAGUCCGGGAGAGGUGAGUGGAACUGCGAGUGUAGAGGUGAAAUUCGUAGAUAUUCGCAAGAACACCAGUGGCGAAGGCGGCUCACUGGCCCGGUACUGACGCUGAGGUGCGAAAGCGUGGGGAGCAAACAGG
rnacentral:rRNA from 1 species